rnacentral:rRNA from 1 species
CGAAGGGGCUAGCGUUGUUCGGAAUUACUGGGGCGUAAAGCGCACGUAGGCGGGUCUGUAAGUAGGGGGUGAAAUCCCAGGGCUCAACCCUGGAACUGCCUUCUAGACUGCAGGCCUUGAGGUCAGGAGAGGCGAGUGGAAUACCGAGUGUAGAGGUGAAAUUCGUAGAUAUUCGGUGGAACACCAAUGGCGAAGGCGACUCGCUGGACUGAUACUGACGCUGAGGUGCGAAAGCGUGGGGAGCAAACAGGAUU